rnacentral:tRNA from 1 species
ACUCUAUGAGUAUACCAGUAUAUUUGACUUCCAAUCAAAAGGUCUUAGAUAAAAUCUAAGAUAGAAUA